rnacentral:rRNA from 1 species
GAUGAACGCUGGCGGCGUGCCUAAUACAUGCAAGUAGAACGCUGAAGGAGGAGCUUGCUCUUCUGGAUGAGUUGCGAACGGGUGAGUAACGCGUAGGUAACCUGCCUGGUAGCGGGGGAUAACUAUUGGAAACGAUAGCUAAUACCGCAUGACAACAGUUAUUGCAUGAUAACUGUUUAAAAGGGGCAACUGCUCCACUACCAGAUGGACCUGCGUUGUAUUAGCUAGUUGGUGAGGUAACGGCUCACCAAGGCGACGAUACAUAGCCGACCUGAGAGGGUGAUCGGCCACACUGGGACUGAGACACGGCCCAGACUCCUACGGGAGGCAGCAGUAGGGAAUCUUCGGCAAUAGACGGAAGUCUGACCGAGCAACGCCGCGUGAGUGAAGAAGGUUUUCGGAUCGUAAAGCUCUGUUGUAAGAGAAGAACGAGUGUGAGAGUGGAAAGUUCACACUGUGACGGUAUCUUAUCAGAAAGGGACGGCUAACUACGUG